rnacentral:rRNA from 1 species
UACGUAGGCAGCAAGCGUUGUUCGGAGUUACUGGGCGUAAAGAGUGCGUAGGGGGUGCCCUAAGUCUGUUGUGAAAUCUCCCGGCUUAACUGGGAGGGUGCGGUGGAAACUGGGGUGCUUGAGUGUGGGAGAGGUAAGCGGAAUUCCUGGUGUAGCGGUGAAAUGCGUAGAUAUCAGGAGGAACACCGGUGGUGUAGACGGCUUACUGGACCACGACUGACACUGAGGCACGAAAGCGUGGGGAGCAAACAGG